rfam:Capsicum annuum cultivar Zunla-1 chromosome 5, whole genome shotgun sequence
UGUUUGUGAUGUGGACAAUCCUAAAGAAGGUCCUUGAAGCGUUCCCAAGCAUGAUAUAUAUUUUCAUCAAGCUUCUGUUUGAAGCUCACUAUCUCACUUCAAAGUCU